rnacentral:rRNA from 1 species
CCUACGGGAGGCAGCAGUGGGGAAUAUUGGGCAAUGGGCGCAAGCCUGACCCAGCAACGCCGCGUGAAGGAAGAAGGCUUUCGGGUUGUAAACUUCUUUUAUCAGGGACGAAGCAAGUGACGGUACCUGACGACUAAGCCACGGCUAACUACGUGCCAGCAGCCGCGGUAAUACGUAGGUGGCAAGCGUUAUCCGGAUUUACUGGGUGUAAAGGGCGUGUAGGCGGGGGAGCAAGUCAGACGUGAAAUCCCAGGGCUCAACCUGGGGACUGCAUUUGAAACUGUUCGUCUUGAGUGCUGGAGAGGCAGGCGGAAUUCCGUGUGUAGCGGUGAAAUGCGUAGAUAUACGGAGGAACACCAGUGGCGAAGGCGGACUGCUGGACAGUAACUGACGCUGAGGCGCGAAAGCGUGGGGAGCAAACAGGAUUAGAUACCCGGGUAGUC